rnacentral:rRNA from 1 species
UAUUGGACAAUGGGGGCAACCCUGAUCCAGCCAUGCCGCGUGAGUGAUGAAGGCCUUCGGGUUGUAAAGCUCUUUUGGCGGGGACGAUGAUGACGGUACCCGCAGAAUAAGCCCCGGCUAACUUCGUGCCAGCAGCCGCGGUAAGACGAAGGGGGCUAGCGUUGUUCGGAAUUACUGGGCGUAAAGCGCGUGUAGGCGGUUUUCCAAGUUGGGUGUGAAAGCCUUGGGCUUAACCCAAGAAAUGCACUCAGUACUGGAAGACUAGAGGACCGGAGAGGAUAGUGGAAUUCCCAGUGUAGUGGUGAAAUACGUAGAGAUUGGGAAGAACACCAGUGGCGAAGGCGGCUAUCUGGACGGUUCUGACGCUAAGACGCGAAU